GUUUGAAGAAAUUGUUCCAUUAUAGUCCAGAGGAAAGUGAGGAGAAAAAAACAUCUAUUGUGAUGACGCCAUGUCCUGAAAAACAAAAAGGGAAAUAUAGGAUUAGUAGUAGUACUAAUAGUUUGAUAGAGGCAGACGUUACAUCCACCAAGUUGUCCUGUAACCACAAGUAUCACACUGAUUAGUAGUACUACUACAGCAGGUGAUGGUACAAGAAGUACAUUUAUGAGCAGUGUUACUUCAAUGGUCCAGUAGCAGAGCAGCAGUAGAUCUCCCAUUUUAUGUUGAGCAGCAAAAUAAAGAAAAAAGUGU